UGUUUGGUAAUAAAUCGUUACAACUAACAUUGUUCUACUCAAAACUAUGCAGACCCUAUGUUUUGUUUCUUAAUAUCUAUGUCAGUAAUAGGGAUAGGAUAGUCAAUUCUGAGAAUAUCUUAAUGCAGGUUGCACAAAUAUUUUGUUGAAAUUGAACAGGAUGCAAUAUUGAAAUUGUUUGAUAUGAUAAUUAAGCUUAUUUUGAAACUUCAUAUUUUAAGUUCUAAUUUAUAUUUUAAUAUAAUCAAGAUAUGCAGAACUGUGAAAAUAUUGUGGUAUGGUUGUAAUAUUUUGCAGAAAUGAAGCCCAUUUGACUUUUUUUCUCUGAAUGAAAAUAAAUUAAUUAUAUUUAAAUUAUUUUCAGUUAAUUUUUUAAAAUAUCACUGAUUUUGUUUUCUUGUUGGAUUAGCUUUGCAUAUUUCUUCUAUUCAGUUUUUACUUUCAUUUUAACCUAUGAAAAUCUAAAAUUUCUUUCAUAAUCAUCAAAAUGAAAAGAUGAUUGAUUAUAAAUGAAAUUCUAGUUUUAUGGUCAAUUUACUUAAAUAAAAGUGAACUAAAUAGUUGGUGUUUAGUUGACUGUUUAUUUUGAUUGAGCUAUACCACUCAUUUAGCUAUAAGAUGCAUCUUAUUGAAUCAAAAUGGUCAAGAUGGUAAGAUUUUGAAUCCUCAUCAUUGAUCAAGAAUUCAAAUCCACUGCAAGUGUUGUUUUUAGUUUCUGGAGGAACACUUUAUUUCUCUAUAUUGCUUCAUUUCACUUACCUGUUAGAUAUACCAUAUAGGUAUGUUACCUGUAGUGGAUUGACACCUUUUUCUAAAGGUAAAGCAUAUGAAGUAUAUUCUAAAGUUACUUAUCAUUUAUAAAAAAAUAUUUUAUUUAAAAAAAAAAAUGUAUAUUACAAUUGUGCAUAUCUAAAUUUAUUGUGAAAACUUGAAACAAGGAAAACAGAAAGAAUUACUUUCAAAAUGUUUAAUAUUUUUGGUACAAAUCUUUAUUUCAAAUUGUUUUACCUCUUGCUAUAAUCUUGCUUAUUCACUUUUCAGUAGGAUAAAAUAUUUUCUCUUAGUUUCUCAAAGCAAAAUAUAAUUGCUAUGACUUGGGACUGUAAAAAUAUAAAUGUGCUGUACUUAUUCCUUCAUGUAAUGGGAUUAAUAAAAAUUGUAAGGUAAUGAAAAUUUUAUGAGCAUUUUUCAUAAAGAAAUGCAAAGCUGAUUAAGAUAGAGUUAAUGAUGUAAUAAAAAGUGCAUGUUUGAGAAGCCAAAAUGUAGGUAUACAUUGUAGACAUGAAACUUUAAUUCCUGUGGAUAAAAAAAGUAAUAAUCAGUUAAUUUUACCAUAAGUAAAGUUUUUUUUUUUUAUUUUCCUCAACUUAACAUUUUUUAUUUGAACCAGAUUUAUUGUCGCUUUCUGCAAUUUCUUACUCCAACAAAGUAAUAGGUAUCUUUUCCUAAUCCUGUUCAUCAAGGAUACAAUUUUCUGUUUGAUAAGAAUUUUAUCUAAUAGGGAAGACAUAACAUAUUUUCUUUUAAAUAAUUUCUAUAUAUUCAGUAGAUAGUGUUUGCAGUUUGUUUAAUGCAGGAUAUUAUGUUUUUGAUACCUUUAUAUUUUGAAGUUAUUCUUUAAAAUAUAUGUAUUUUGUUAAAAUUUUAAGCUGUAGGACAUGCUCAGGUUUAAAAAUUGGUUAAGUCUGUAGUUUACAAUAUCUAAUUUGGAUAUCUGAAUAAAAAAAUUAUACUUUGGUUGAUAGAUAUUAACUCUAUGAGUCUGAAAUAAAACUAUACUUAAAAAGUAAAA